UACGGAGGGGGGCAAGCGUUGUUCGGAAUUACUGGGCGUAAAGGGCGCGCAGGCGGCUGCUCAAGUCAGACGUGAAAGGCCUGGGCUCAACCCGGGAAUUGCGCUUGAGACUGGGCUGGCUUGAGUGCGGGAGAGGUGAGUGGAAUUCCGAGUGUAGAGGUGAAAUUCGUAGAUAUUCGGAAGAACACCAGUGGCGAAGGCGGCUCACUGGCCCGUUACCGACGCUCAGGCGCGACAGCGUGGGGAGCAAACAGGG
rnacentral:rRNA from 1 species